GAUGAAGAACGCAGCGAAAUGCGAUACGUAAUGUGAAUUGCAGAAUUCAGUGAAUCAUCGAAUCUUUGAACGCAUAUUGCGCUCUUUGGUAUUCCGAAGAGCAUGCUUGUUUGAGUAUCAGUAAACACCUCAAAGCUUUUGGAUUUUUUAAUCGAAAAGCUUUGGACUUGAGCAAUCCCAACACCAAUCUUUUUGAGAUCGGUGGCGGGUUGCUUGAAAUGCAGGUGCAGCUGGACAUUCUCCUGAGCUAAAAGCAUAUUCAUUUAGUCUCGUCAAACGGAUUAUUACUUUUGCUGCAGCUAACAUAAAGGGAGUUUGACCGUAUUGGCUGACUGAUGCAGGAUUUCACAAGGGUCGGCAACGAUUCUUGUUAAACUCGAUCUCAAAUCAAGUAAGACUACCCGCUGAACUUAAGCAUAUCAAUAAGCGGAGGA
rnacentral:misc_RNA from 1 species